AAAGGCGGAUUUAUCUGCCGCUCAUGGAUGGGCCUGCGGUGCAUUAGCUAGUUGGUGAGAUAGUAGCUCACCAAGGCGACGAUGCAUAGCCGACCUGAGAGGGUGAUCGGCCACACUGGGACUGAGACGCGGCCCAGACUCCUACGGGAGGCAGCAGUAGGGAAUCUUCCGCAAUGGACGCAAGUCUGACGGAGCAACGCCGCGUGAGUGAUGAAGGGUUUCGGCUCGUAAAACUCUGUUGUUAAGGAAGAACACUUGAGGUAGUAACUGGCCUUGAGAUGACGGUA
rnacentral:rRNA from 1 species